rnacentral:rRNA from 1 species
GAGCACGUAGGUGGGUUUGUAAGUCAGAUGUGAAAGCCUUCUGUUCAACGGAAGAAUUGCAUCUGAAACUGCGAGUCUUGAGUGUAGGAGGGGAGAAUGGAACUUCUGGUGGAGCGGUGAAAUGCGUAGAUAUCAGAAGGAACGCCGGCGGCGAAAGCGAUUCUCUGGCCUAUUACUGACACUCAGUGUGCGAAAGCUAGGGGAGCAAACGGGAUUAGAUACCCCGGUAGUCCUAGCCGGAAACGAUGGGCACUAAGUAGAGGGGUUUU